AAGAAAAAGAAAAAGAAAAGGGCGGCCGGGGCUCAGCCACAGUAUUCCGCCUCAGCUCCUCAUCGCGCCACCCUCGCCUUCAUUUUCUCCUAAUGCCACCUUCCCCCAAUUGUCCACCACUGCUAGACUCGGCGAUGUUGCUCAGGACAGCCGCGAAGGAGAUAGCUUGUCGCCAUGGCAGACCACCACGGAGAGAGCGAAGCGGGGCAGCAAGAAUGUUGGAGGCAUGUGUCAGCAAGCUCGAGCCUUCUCCUAGACAGCGCAGCCUGUGCCACCACCUGCGCUGUCUAAAAUCUAGGCCUGUCAUGUCUCGACUGCCGCUCACAUCCCCAGUUCCCCACGGGGCACCGGCACGGCCGCCCAUCUCGACGAGGACCUCUGCACCUUGACGAGGCCCGUGCUCACAUAUAUGUGCUCUCUCUCCGGUCAUAUGCACACUAGAUGUUUGUGGGAAUGCUUCUGUGAACUCUUCACUGUUCAGCUAACACAUGAAGCUUCACAAUCCUGUGCUCCCGUAGCAUUCAGAUUGGUUUACAUAACUAAAAGCUUACCAAUUCUAAACCUGUGAUUUUUAGGCACACUUUAUCAUAGCACCUGAUUGUCAUUGUCAUAACCAUCGGAGCACUGACACUUUGUUUAAUAUAGGACUGAUGAUCACAAACUUGGGCACAUUAACCUAUUUGCUCUGCCAUCAAAUUAAGGUCAACUAAAAUUUGACAUGCUACCAUUUCAGCUCCUAGCAUCCGACUUCAUUUCAACUGUAGGAUGAAUGUUACCUAACUGAACAUUUCUACUUCAUUAUCUUUUAUUCAAUUUUCAGCAGAUCCCUGAUCUCAAACCUGCAUAGCAUAGGAAGCAACGAAUUACUUAGUGAAAGGAAACACUGAUGAUACAGGCAUGAGAUUCCUGAUGCGACUUAGAAAAAGGAAACAUAAGGUAUACGUGCGGCAUAUGUCAUGUUGGUUUUCUGCAAGAUUCAUUGAGUUGCAUCUGACAUUCAUUUGUAUUUCUCAUAAGGUCAAAACUCAUCAAGGACAGACCUCAGCAAGAUAUUAUCUUUAUUUGUCUGAUGGAUCUUGCAUCAGAUAUAUAAAGAAAUCAAGCACUAAUUGAUUUGUCUUGCACGGUCAAGUCUCUAAUGUUCAAUCAAAUAAGAAAGUGCAGUGCCUCAUAGCAACUAUGUUAGUAUUAUUCCCAAGAACUUAUUUUGAUGGUUAUAAAAAAUAUUUGAUUGUACUGGUUAGUUCUUACACACUCUACACAAAAUAUGACAACAGCAGCAUUUUUUGUGUAAUUCUAGGCUAUUUUUGGUGCAUAUUUGGUUACUGCAGCUCCUAAUUCUCUUACAGUAACAUCUGGAUUAGUUAAGUUCAACCAU